UACGGAGGGGGCUAGCGUUGUUCGGAAUUACUGGGCGUAAAGCGCACGUAGGCGGACUGUUAAGUCGGGGGUGAAAUCCUGGGGCUCAACCUCAGAAUUGCCUCCGAUACUGGCAGUCUCGAGUGCGGGAGAGGUGAGUGGAAUUCCCAGUGUAGAGGUGAAAUUCGUAGAUAUUGGGAAGAACACCAGCGGCGAAGGCGGCUCACUGGCCCGUAACUGACGCUGAGGUGCGAAAGCGUGGGGAGCAAACAGG
rnacentral:rRNA from 1 species